CGGGGCGUAGCGCAGCCUGGUUAGCGCGCAGCGUUCGGGACGCUGAGGUCGGAAGUUCGAAUCUUCUCGCCCCGACCA
rnacentral:tRNA from 1 species